rnacentral:lncRNA from 1 species
UAUUUGUUUUAAAAACUUAAAAUGUCUGAGAAUAAUUAAAAUUCAAAACUCAAACAAAAAACAAACAACCUUUAAAGGGUGAUAAUCCAUCACCCAUUAUAAAUUAAUUUUAAUAAAAUAUGUUAAUUUUAGUAGUUUGUACAUGUAGCACAGUAGCAGAACUGUAAAAAAUAACGCAUACGAAGAAAACGUUGAAAGCAACCAAGCGGGAAAGAAUGUGGCCCGUGCACGUUUUGAAUCAUCGUUAUGGGCUGGGUUCUCAAUUCACUAAAAACCAUUGGGCUGGCCUAAAUCUGAGUAUGAACUCAAAGUGUAAGCAGAAACGGGCCCAAGACUUUGGGCUACAGACCAUUAGAGAAGGUGUGGGGCUCUUAACACCCCCUUUAAAAUCCUCAAAACAGUGAAACACUCACUUUGAAUUUUAUUUCAGUUAAAUUUAUAAAAUACAAAUUCGUGUAUUAAAUUAAAGGGAAAUUUACAAACUGACCUAAAAAAAUUUUAAUUUCUCAAAUUUAAUUUUUCUAUCGUAAGUAGCCAAACAUAAGUUUUUUUUUUUCAAAUUACUCUCCUUAUUUCAAUCCAAACUCUUCUCUCUCUUCAUUAAACUGUAAGCAGUUUUUCUCUCUUGAAUCAUCAUCGGCAGUGACAGCAAACGGCGAUAGUGACAGAAAAAGUGAAUUCCGACCGAAUACACCCGAGCCCAUAUUCAGCACCAAUCCAACACGAUUCUAACAAAUUGAAAUAGUGCCCAAAACCUUUGUAAGCUAAUUGAAAGGAAUUUGAUUUUAUAGAACUAUUGCACAUUAGGUAUUUGAUGAAAUGUUUCUUAAAUUGUUUAUCUUUUGUUUUUGUAUAACCAAUUGUUAAGAGGUGUUUGUUGUGAGUUGGAGGGGGGGGUGUUUAUGGUCGAUUUGGUGUUAAGACAGUUUCAGUACCAUAAUGUCUUGGUGCGACAAGCAAAUUUGUGUGACAUGGUGCCCGUCGCAUCUGAUUUGCAUGCGAUGGGUGCCAUGGUCAGCAGCCCAUCGCACGGAUUUUGUAAAGAUCGCACCAAAUUCGUGCGAUGGGCGUCUUGUCACCCACACCAACAAACUCUCCCACACACCACCAACAUCACAAAUACUUCAAUCCUCCAUCACUAUCACCAACACAAACACAAUAAAACAACAUAAAACAAGAACACACAAUAGAACAUGCAAUAAAACCUAUGGUUUUUUAACUAACCAUUGAUUUUAGAUCUUGGCCGUGAUUUUGGUGAUGUUGGCCGUUGAGAAUGGACUCCGACGUACUGUGGGAAGCCGCUGACGAUGAUUGGUCGUUUUGGGUGAGAGGCUGAGAAAAGUCGUUCGGUUAGAGAGAGGAAGCUUGGUGAGAAUGAGAGGAAUAUUUUCGUCACUUGAUGUGUUUUUUGGCUAAUGUUGACAGAAAUAAACUCUAGAGGCUAAUUGUGAAAAAUACAAAAUUUUUGUGGUCAAUUUUGUAAAUUUCCUUAAAUUAACAUCUUUCCAUGAGAUUUCACCUUAAA